rnacentral:tRNA from 1 species
GGGCGCGUGGCGGAACUGGCAGACGCAGCAGACUCAAAAUCUGCCGGGGCUUACGCUCCGUGAAGGUUCGAUUCCUUUCGCGGCCACCA